CUGACAUCCUGCAUCACAAGCAGCUACUUCAAUCCGUCCCCACUACAGAGUGACGUUCAUGAGAUCGGGACUGUGCCACACUCGGCUCUGUGUGACUGGUGCUCCUUACAUAACGGAUGUCGUUUCCUGAGCGUCUAUUAUGUGCCAGGCGCUUAUGUAAUGCUCAGUCCUCGCCACAACCACCCCACGAGCCUGGGGAACAUCGUGGGGUCCCUCCGGAGAGCUUAGUAAGAGACUGUGCACUCAAGAGAGGACGCCAAUGUAGAAAAGCUGCCAGGAGAGGGGCCAGUCUGGGCAUGUGAUACCUACGGGGAGUGGGAUAGUGAUCAGCCCCUUCAUCGAGGGCUUUCCAGCCUCCCGCAGCAGGUAUUUUACAACGCACUCGAAUCUUCCAGCAACCGCAGCUGGUGUUGGUCCAGACAUUACAGAAGAGGAAGCGGAGGCCCACCCGGGUCCUGA